ensembl:processed_transcript 5830418P13Rik RIKEN cDNA 5830418P13 gene
AGUUCUGCACUGAGCAGCUAGCGGGGGGAGUGGCGGCUUGGCUGAAAUGGAGCCAGGGCGUGGUAGGAUGCCACAUCCUUCUGUAGCUGGCUCUUGCACGCCAGCAGGUGCGCCCGCUCCUGCUGCUGCUGCUCUGUCUCGGAGCGGAUCUCUGCCAGCUCUGCCUCCAGCCUGCCCACCACGGCACCCAGGUUCUGCAGUUCCAUGUCAUGCCAGUGCUGGGCGUCAUGCAGGCUGUUUUCCAGGCCUCGUUUCUACAAAAGAGUAAAGGUUAUCGGCGUGGGCAGUCCAGGUUGCUAGCUUUCAGAUCAUGACUCCCGCAUUGGUACCUCUGGCGCAGAUGUCUACGUUGGCGAUGGGUGCUUCAGCUGGGGAAGCUGGGAGGAGAUGCACCCCAGACUUCCCUUUCGGUCAUCUCGGCCAUGGACAGAUUUGAGUCCCAGCUUUUACACCUCCUGUGAAGCUUUCACACCCACGCUGCCUUUUCUCCCCCAACACCGUGACCUGGGACUGGACGUUUAUCACCUAAGACAGGGUCUCACUACAUAGCUCUGGCCACUUGCUAUGUAGACCAGACUGGCCUCGAACUCGCAGAGAUCCAUCUGCCUGCCAAGUUGCUGGGAUUAAAGAAGCCCACAGAGGUCAGAAGAGGCAUUGGAACCCCUGGAACUGAAGUCACAGGCGUUGUGAGCUGCCCUGUGAGUGCUGGGAACAGAAUCUGGGUCCUCUGCAAGAGCCGAGAGAAGGCAGUGAAAAUACCAAAUGUCACCAUGAACAGCCAUCAGACGGAUGCGACAUCCAUAAGAAGAGCUACCUGUGACCUUGGAGCCACGUGGCCCUUCUCUCUAGGGAGAGAAGGUAGAAAUGAAAAACUGGUGGUCUUUAUUAGUAACACUGAAGGGCAGGCUGGCUGGAAGCUUGCUACAGGGAGAGCCGGAAGAGCUAACAGUGGAGUGUCCUCAGCCCCUACUCUCCCUCUGACCUGAACCACCACUGUCACAGCUAUAUGCUUUAAUGCCAGGUUCCCCCGCUCAAGGAGACAGCAUGGGGUGAUUUGAAUAUACAAUGUCCCCUUCCCCCAGACGUAUGUGUUAUAGCCUCAAUCCUCAGGCGGUGGAGCUAUUUCAGAAGGUUCUAAAAACUUAAUGAGGUUGGAAGCCUAGUUAUGGGGAAGUAGUCCCCCCGGGACAUGUUCUCGGGGCUGUGUCUUUCCAUGACCUUUCCUCUGUCCCCGCUUCCUGGCCAUCUCGAGGUCAUCGACUUUCCCUUCCACCUUAAUGUUCUGCCUCACCACAGCCCAGAAACAAUGAUGCUGGCUGACUAGACAGGAAGGCUUCAAAUUGUGAAAGAAAAAGAAGCAUUUCUCCCAUUGAAAGUCAUUUAUCCAGGUAUUUUGUUACAGCGACACAAGGCUGACAAACCCGGCUCAUCAGAGCAAUGUCAGUAAGAACCGAUCGUGGCACUGGGUUGAGGGGAAGAGGCUCGGGGGCUGUAAGGAGUGAUGGAGGGAGAAACAAGAGAUGCUUUCCUAGAGGGCAUCUCGGAUGGAUUCCAGAGAUGGGCAGUGAGAGGCUGUGGUGGGUUAUAGAGUAAAUUCUGAGGGGCUGGUGAGGACCGGAAGACACAGUGACGGCUGUCGUUGAGGGAGGGGUGGCUGUCAGAGGUUUAUGUCCCCCUGGCCCUCCUCAUGGAGGUGCCCUUAGGAUACCUUAUCUAGUGGUUCUUCAAGGGCAGUCCCCAGCAUUCCUGGGAGCUCAUGGGAAAUGACCGUACCCCACGUCAGUGUAAGAUUCAGGAUUUCUGAAGCUGUAUUACAGCUUCUCGUGUGUUGAACAAAUGUUUUUUGUGUAGAGAAGAAUCACAACCAUGGGAUAAUGGCUGCCAUUCACAGUCUACUCAGCCUGUGCCAGGCAACUUGCUGGACAGGGUUUCUCUCUCUCUUCUUCUUCCCACUCUCCCCCCUCUCUCUUACACACACACACCUUGGAGAAUCAGUGGCUUGUGGAGCAAGCGCUCCUUCCAGACUGCCCUUGCUCUUGUUCACGUGGUUGCCUGUGACACCUGGAUCACCUGCCAUUCCUCACAACCCUGGUUGUCUAACAAAUCCUACAUGACAAUAAUGUUCAUUUCGU